rnacentral:rRNA from 1 species
GACGAACGCUGGCGGCGUGCCUAAUACAUGCAAGUAGAACGCUGAAGGAGGAGCUUGCUUCUCCGGAUGAGUUGCGAACGGGUGAGUAACGCGUAGGUAACCUGCCUGGUAGCGGGGGAUAACUAUUGGAAACGAUAGCUAAUACCGCAUAAGAGUAGAUGUUGCAUGACAUUUGCUUAAAAGGUGCAAUUGCAUCACUACCAGAUGGACCUGCGUUGUAUUAGCUAGUUGGUGAGGUAACGGCUCACCAAGGCGACGAUACAUAGCCGACCUGAGAGGGUGAUCGGCCACACUGGGACUGAGACACGGCCCAGACUCCUACGGGAGGCAGCAGUAGGGAAUCUUCGGCAAUGGACGGAAGUCUGACCGAGCAACGCCGCGUGAGGGAAGAAGGUUUUCGGAUCGUAAAGCUCUGUUGUAAGAGAAGAACGAGUGUGAGAGUGGAAAGUUCACACUGUGACGGUAUCUUACCAGAAAGGGACGGCUAACUACGUG